GCGGCAGAGCUCAAAUUUGAAAGCUGGCUCCUUCGGGGUCCGCAUUGUAAUUUGCAGAGGAUGCUUCGGGAGUGGCCCCCAUCUAAGUGCCCUGGAACGGGCCGUCAUAGAGGGUGAGAAUCCCGUCUGGGAUGGGGUGUCCACGCCCGUGUGAAGCUCCUUCGACGAGUCGAGUUGUUUGGGAAUGCAGCUCUAAAUGGGUGGUAAAUUUCAUCUAAAGCUAAAUACUGGCCGGAGACCGAUAGCGCACAAGUAGAGUGAUCGAAAGAUGAAAAGCACUUUGAAAAGAGAGUUAAACAGCACGUGAAAUUGUUGAAAGGGAAGCGCUUGCGACCAGACUCGCCCACGGGGUUCAGCCGGCAUUCGUGCCGGUGUACUUCCCCGCGGGCGGGCCAGCGUCGGUUUGGGCGGCCGGUCAAAGGCCCUCGGAAUGUAACGCCCCCCGGGGCGUCUUAUAGCCGAGGGUGCCAUGCGGCCAGCCCGGACCGAGGAACGCGCUUCGGCUCGGACGCUGGCAUAAUGGUCGUAAGCGACCCGUCUUGAAACACGGACCAAGGAGUCUAACAUCUACGCGAGUGUUCGGGUGUCAAACCCGUGCGCGCAGUGAAAGCGAACGGAGGUGGGAACCCCUCGGGGUGCACCAUCGACCGAUCCUGAUGUCUUCGGAUGGAUUUGAGUAA
rnacentral:rRNA from 1 species